rnacentral:tRNA from 1 species
GCGCCCGUAGCUCAGAUGGAUAGAGCGUCGGCCUCCGAAGCCGAAGGUCGCUGGUUCGAAUCCAGCCGGGCGUA